UGAGGAAAAGGUUGAUGUUUUGCCGUCAACGUCGUUGAUGAAGGAAUCAGUGGAAUCAGUGAAAAGUCCAAUCUCUUUGUCAUCUGAAAAAGAGAUAGUAUACAUCUUUGUUUUUCAAAUCUAUUGUGAGUGAUCAUUGGGGAUUUUCCGUGUGUCGUUACUCGGCUGAUUGUAUGCAAAAGUUGGAGCCUGUUGGGAAGAGCUAUAAAUGUACAUCUUGUGAUAUUAUUUCUGAUGACUUGUAUUGACAUCUAUCGAUUUUGGUAUUUAUGUUUUCAUUUUGUUUGUGGUAUAUUUUUUCACUUUUGAUAAUGAAUUUGUUGUUUAGUUGAAUGUUUUCGAUGGACUGAAUGAUUUUGAAGUUUAAGCUACUUCUACCAAUACAGACAAGAUUUUAGGUACAAUAUUUGUUUUUACUUUGUGUUUGUUAAUUCGUUAUCGUUUUUAUGUAGGUGUGACGUCAUUAUUUGUUGGAAAAUGUGUUCGUAAAAACGAGCUUGAAAAGUUGAAAGGGUCAGACGGUCACACAUAAAAGAGUUGAUUCCGUGUCUGAAUGUUUCAUUUCUGGAGCUGAGGUGAUAAUUAAGAAGAUGCUUGAUAAUGAAUCUGCAGAGGCUAUGGACGAAACGAAAUGAAUUUUUUUGUUGCUGUGCCGAGGUCUUCUUUUCUGGAUAUGAAAAAAAAACAGAAUUUUUUGUUGUUUUGGUUGAGGUAUAAUGCUAAUUAGUGAUUUAGAAACUUAUUUUGAUAAUGUAUUUAAACUGAAACGAAGUUUGAAUGGAUGAAAUUAAAAUUGGUGGAAUGAAG